UAGCCUUGACAUUAGAGUUAAAGAUGGCCACAUGACACCCUCUUAAACCCUAGGCCACAGAAUCAGAUGACCUUUACAUCAUCUACCCUAUAGACCACAAGGUCUGAAAGUGGAACUUUACUGUUUUUUACUUAAUGAAUUCUAUGUUCUAGCUUUUAGCUUAUCAAUGAGGAUAGUAAAAUUAGUAAGAAACAGUUCCACUGUAGAAAAUUGAAGUAAAAAUGUAUUUAAAUACAUGUGCACUAUUAUUUGUUUGACUACUUUGAAAUUAUGCUUCGCUUGUUGCCUACUAAUACAUACGGAUAAUGGACUAGGGAAAAUACUGUGAUGAUGGUGCAUUGGAGAAUCUAGGUUUACGUUCUGGCUGUCCACUUGAUAGAUGUAGAGCAAUAACACUACUCCUACUCAAACGAUUUGUUCAACUUU